UGUUUUGGGGUGUGGUGCAGAGCAAGAUGAAGAAAGAAAUGGAGUUUCGUACUACCUGUGGGUAACGGGUGAUGAUGGGAACUGGAGAUUGGCAUCUGGCCAUGGAAUUAAUACAGGUGGAGGUGGCGAUAAUACAGAAGAAGAAGAAUAUGUGGAUGACAGAGAAGAAGAUGAGGAGCUCAAGUCUAUGGACGGGGAACCAUGUUACAGUCUCUUUUUCGUUCCAGCCAAAGGAAAUUUUAAUGAAGGGCUCUUAAUUAGCCGUUCCCUUCCUUAGUGGAGGCUGCUUAUUUUAAUAUGGUAAGAACUCCUAUUCAAUUGUGAUUAAAACAAAUGGGUAUACCAUAGCUAGUUUUCUUAUGUCGGUGCUUCGGAACUUUACCUUGGUGGAGCCACUGACCCUCGCCCGGCCUGUCAAUAUUCAUGGAAGCUGCAAAUUCGAGUUAGUUUUGACAUGUUUGCUAUUUCACAGUUGACUGAAAAAAUUGGCUUCAUUAAUUUUCUGCUCCUUUUCAUUUGCUGCUGAGAUUCAUGCUGAAAUCUCCGUGCGGGUAGGUAUCACAUUCCAGUAGACCCAUACCAUCUUUUUCGCAUGAGAUUCUUGUACACUGUUAGAUUUUGAGGUGCACAGUUCACUAGCAUUACCCUGUCAAGCAUAUCAUUGCACCCACAUUUGCAUGACAUGUCAUUUACACUAGGACUUAUAUGAAUUCUUGUUUUUAUACACAUGCGCUACAGAUUUCACCUCUAGUAUUUUAACUUCCUACUUUGAUGGAUAUGGUAAAAUGCAACAAUGCUCUAGCAAUAGCCCAAAUGGAUUCAGCUAUUCUUGCUUAGCAAAGUAAGACUAGGGAAAGGUACAAACAUGUUUCUAUUUUAGGAGGAAAAUAAUUCAAAAUAUGACAAUAUACAGUUGAAGAUAUCAAUUCCAAUAAAUUACUGGCUAGAGACCUUUGAGAAAUCCAGCACAAUUUAUGACGACAUUGCCUUGUUAAUUUUUCUCUGCUCAACUCGACUGGUAGGUCUCAGCAAUUUUUUUUGCUUAUGUGCUACUGCAAGGUGAUGCCAAAUCUGGUGAAUUUUGGGCUUUUUUGAUGGCUUUGGUCCUCUUCCGAAGAAGUUACGUUUGGAGGAGGCUAGAAAAGACAUGGAAGCUACAUCGAAAUUGCAAUGGAUGAUAUGUAGCACCCAGUAGAAGUAGAGGACAUGACAGGAGGAGGGAACAAGUAGAUUCGUUUAUCAUUGAUGUUAUGUGUGAUCAACAAAAACUUGUGCUUCUCAUCCAAUCUUUGUCGCACUAUGUUGAUGUGUGAUUAUGCACUUGUUGGGCCAUUUUGCUGUGCACCUCCACUUGUAGAACUAUUUUGUUGGGCACUUGUAGGACCUUGAACCUUUAUGUGUAGAGGAGUCGAUGGAUGAUGUAUUGUAAUUCAUGUGAUGUGUUACUGAAAUGAAAUAUAUACAACUAAUUUGCAAU